AUUUCUUCCCUGGAUUUUUCGUUUAUCAAGCAUGGAGUUUGGAGAAUAUCCAUUCUGGAAGAUACUUGUUCCCCUCUUCUUUACCAUGAGCAAAACUGACUGGAAUCGUUCCCAUUUCUGACCUGUCGUGAAUGGAAUCUGCCUUCCUUAACCUGAGGCAUCCGGAAAGUCUUACUUUCCAGAGGCUGCCUUCCUGGACCCUUUCUCUUCUUCACAACCUGGGAACUGCCCUGCAGUUAAAGGAUUAUUCCACAGGGUCCACAACAACUUGGUCUGGUCAUUUUUCUGCCCUUCAUGCUUGAUGCACAUCAGACAACCUGAAGACCAAGAAGAACUUUGAUAUUUGGGCUAGACUCCUCUCUGGGGGGCAUCUCUGCACAUUUACAGUCCAGUGGGAUAAACCCCCCACCUUCCUGGAGUUUACCGUGUUGAUACCUAAGUUUUCAAACCAU